rnacentral:rRNA from 1 species
GAUGAACGCUAGCGGCAGGCUUAAUACAUGCAAGUCGAGGGGCAGCAGGACUGUAGCAAUACAGUUGCUGGCGACCGGCAAACGGGUGCGGAACACGUACGCAAUCUACCCAAAACUGAUGAAUAGCCCUCCGAAAGGAGGAUUAAUACAUCGUAACAUAAUGAAGUGGCAUCGCUUUAUUAUUAUAGCUCCGGCGGUUUUGGAUGAGCGUGCGCCUGAUUAGGUAGUUGGCGGGGUAACGGCCCACCAAGCCUGCGAUCAGUAACUGGUGUGAGAGAACGACCAGUCACACGGGCACUGAGACACGGGCCCGACUCCUACGGGAGGCAGCAGUAAGGAAUAUUGGUCAAUGGACGCAAGUCUGAACCAGCCAUGCCGCGUGGAGGAUGAAGGCCCUCUGGGUUGUAAACUUCUUUUAGAUGGGAAGAAAAUGCUAGAUGUAUCUGGUACUGACGGUACCAUCAGAAUAAGCACCGGCUAACUCCGUGCCAGCCGCCGCGGUAAAAC